rnacentral:rRNA from 1 species
UACGGAGGGAGCAAGCGUUGUUCGGAUUUACUGGGCGUAAAGGGCGCGUAGGCGGUCUUUUAAGUCUUGUGUGAAAUCCCUCGGCUCAACUGAGGAACUGCACGGGAUACUGGAAGACUUGAGUUCGGGAGAGGGAAGCGGGAUUCCGGGUGUAGCGGUGAAAUGCGUAGAUAUCCGGAGGAACACCGGUGGCGAAGGCGGCUUCCUGGUCCAGCACCGACGUUCAGGCACGAAAGCGUGGGGAGCAAACAGG